CCUUAGAGACUGCAUAUCAGC
rnacentral:misc_RNA from 1 species